GAUGAACGCUGGCGGCGUGCCUAAUACAUGCAAGUCGAACGCUGGAGAUCUAGCUUGCUAGAUCGAAGGAGUGGCGAACGGGUGAGUAAUACAUAAGCAACCUACCCACGAAGACUGGGAUAAUCUCUGGAAACGGGGACUAAUACCGGAUAGGUAAUCGGAAGGCAUCUUCUGGUUAUUAAAGGUUAAAAACACUGGUGGAUGGGCUUAUGGCGCAUUAGUUAGUUGGUGAGGUAACGGCCCACCAAGACGAUGAUGCGUAGCCGGCCUGAGAGGGUGAACGGCCACAUUGGGACUGAGACACGGCCCAGACUCCUACGGGAGGAAGCAGUAGGGAAUUUUCGGCAAUGGGGGCAACCCUGACCGAGCAACGCCGCGUGAGUGAAGACGGCCUUCGGGUUGUAAAGCUCUGUUGUAAGGGAAGAACGGUAGAUAGAGAAUAUCUAAGUGACGGUACCUUACCAGAAAGCCACGGCUAACUACGUG
rnacentral:rRNA from 1 species